rnacentral:rRNA from 1 species
AGCGAACGCUGGCGGCAGGCCUAACACAUGCAAGUCGAGCGCCCCUCCUUCAAGCGAGCUUGGAGGAUUGAGACGAGCGAAGCCGAAGGGCUCGCUUGAUGGAGGGGAGCGGCAGACGGGAGAGUAACACGUGGGAACGUACCCUUUGGUUCGGAACAACCCAGGGAAACUUGGGCUAAUACCGGAUAAGCCCUUACGGGGAAAGAUUUAUCGCCGAAGGAUCGGCCCGCGUCUGAUUAGCUAGUUGGUGGGGUAAUGGCCCACCAAGGCGACGAUCAGUAGCUGGUCUGAGAGGAUGAUCAGCCUCACUGGGACUGAGACACGGCCCAGACUCCUACGGGAGGCAGCAGUGGGGAAUAUUGGACAAUGGGCGCAAGCCUGAUCCAGCCAUGCCGCGUGGGUGAUGAAGGCCCUAGGGUUGUAAAGCCCUUUCGGCGGGGAAGAUAAUGACGGUACCCGCAGAAGAAGCCCCGGCUAACUUCGUGCCAGCCGCCGCGGUAACAC